AAGAAGAGCAUUGUGGAGAGUAGCUCAAACUUAGGCGCCGGUCUUCACUUCACAAGCAGAGCAGAGCAGGAUGAUUUGCAGUUUUUCUGUUUUCUGGGUUGAUAGGUUUUAAGUAUAUGCAGAGAUUAAAGUAACAUAUAAGAUGGGAAGGAUUAUGCAUUUUGGUGAUCUUCCAUUUGAACUCCUAAUACCUACUUCCUCUAACAACACCAGAGAUAUUGCUAUAAAAACUGUCCCUUCUGCUUCUAAGACUGAAAUCAAGAAGGUUCUUGAAUCGUUAUACGGAUUUGAGGUUGAGAAGGUAAGGACACUAAACAUGCAGGGAAAGAAGAAGUUUAGAGGGAAAACUUUGGUUGCCAAACCAAAUUAUAAGAAGGCAUAUGUGACUUUAAAGAAUCUAUCAUCCAUUUUUCCUGCUCUUUAUAAUACUUUUGACUCAGUUGAAGAUGAGACUAAAAGCAUGAUCAAGUAAGAGGUAAGUAAAACUCUAGAACUGUUUGGGAAAGAAAAAAAAAAUGAAAUGUCAAUUUUGAUAGCAAAAAAAUUCAGAAGUUGCUACAUACAAGUUAAAUAGUUAAGAGCUGAGCUGAAAGAGGGUGUUUUAACUAAAGCAUUGAUUUCCUUACAUCUGAUUGAAUUUGUUUUGGCUGAAAUGUCUGGUGUAAGUUCAUUGUAUUUCCAUCAAUACUUUCAUAUUUGGUCACAAAUUAUUGGAUAGUGAUUUUUUCUUCA